GCAGAUAUCUCCUCAACCGGGACAACUAUGAUAAGAUGUUCCCAAAAGCCAAUCACUUCAGAAACUCUUGUGCUCGUGUCGAGUCUUCGAAGGAUUCAGGAGUAGUGCACAUUAGUGCAGCAUACUUGGUUGACAUGUUUUUAGAUUUCGUUAGUUCUAUAACUCGUACUUUUCAUUAUUUCCUAUAUACUGACAUACAAAAUUUAAAAUGCUGCAAAGAUUAAAGAAGUUUAAGAAAAACCUGCUUCGUUUUGCAGAAUAAAUGGGAAGACGUCUUUCCUACAAUCAUAACAAAAGCAAGGACAAUUGAAGUUCUCGAAAGUGGAAUGAUAGGAAAUCGGAGUGGUUGCUUGCAGUUGGUACAUAAAAAGCAAUUGUUUGGUUAAGUAUACUAAUUAUUUACCUAUAUCUUUUCACAAUUAUUCAUACAUUUCAAAUUUUUUGAUGCAGAUGUAUGAAGAAAUGCACAUUCUCUCACCUUUGGUACUGCCGCGGGAUUUCUACUUUCUUCGCCAUUGUCAGCAAAUUGAGCUAGGAACUUGGGUCAUCACUGAUGUCUCCUAUAACUUCGCAAAAGGAAGUUUUGCGAGACAGCCUCGAUCUUGGAGGCUACCUUCUGGAUGCAUGAUAGAAGACAUGCAUAACGGAUACUCCAAGGUUUGCUUCAUCUAAUCUUCAACCAUAUAAAUUGGUCCAUAUGAUAAAUUAGAGCAGAGAUAUGCUUGCAAUCUAAUGGGGAAAAGCCAGGAGAAUACCUGGAGCUAUAUAUACUUUAGCAUCAAUUAUCAAUGGUUACUUAGAAUACAUAUCAACAUCACAAGUAGAUAGUACACGAUUAUUAUUUUCAUGGCAUUACAUUCUUCAUCAAAAAGCAUUCAUGUACAAUAUUUCUGGUUUGGUUUUAGUUGGUAGAAUCGUUUUUAAGUAUUGAGUUGGAAAAUUAUAGAUUACUUGGAUUGAGCAUAUGGCGGUUGACGACAAGACACAAACUCAUUGGCUCUAUAGAGAUCUAAUUUGUAGAAGUGUUGCAUAUGGAGCUGAGAGAUGGAUUGUUACUCUUCAAAAGAUGUGUGAGAGAUUCCAUUGUUUAAUGAACGGUUGUGUGUUUGGAGGAGGUAAGUUUUCAUCAAUCACCUCCUAUGUUUUCCAAAACAAGAAAGUAAUAAUACAAAGAUGGCAAGAGGAGCCUAAUUUUGAGUUUUGAUGAACAUGUUUUCCAUUUUUUAGUGGUUACUUUGCCUGAAGGCAAGAGAAGCUUAAUGAAGCUUUCCCAGAGGAUGGUAAAGAACUUUUGUGGAAUGUUGAGCAUGGCGGGAAAUCUUGACCCCCCCCAAUUAUCAGAAGUUGACAAUACUGGGAUUCAAGUCUCUGUUCAUACAAGCACAGAAAUAGGACAACCGCAUGGCACGAUCGUCAGUGUUGCUACUUCUUUCUGGCUUCCUUUGUCGACGCAAAUGAUCUUUAACUUCUUCAAAGAUGAGAAAACAAGAGUUCAGGUUUAUAUAUAUCUUGAUUUAUCAGUAAUAUUAAAGGUUGAAAUAUGACCUUACAAGUAGUAAUGCCCUAUUUGAUUUUUCUCAGUGGGAUGUUCUCUCUAAUGGAAAUCCAGUGCAUGAGAUUGCCUACAUUUCAACAGGAACUCAUCCUGAAAAUCGUAUAUCCAUCAUUCGGGUAAUUUUCUUUCCUUCUUCAACUUUUACUUGCACAAAUCUUUUUUGACAAGAAAAGUCCAGAAACAAGAGUUGAACUAUUGCUAGUUUGAAGUUUGAGGAAAACAUAUCAGUCUUAUGGUGUUCAUUUUAACUAAGUUAAGUUUAAUGCCUCAUAAACAGUUUAGGUUAAUUGUUUGGAAUGGUUUGUAUUGAGCAGCCUUUCACCCCGACGGAGGACAACAUGUUGAUUCUUCAAGAGUGCUACAUAGACCCUCUUGGAUCCUUUAUCAUAUAUGCUCCGGUUGACAUGCAAAUUCUCAAUGUAGCAGUAAGUGGUGAAGACUCUUCUAACAUGUCCAUACUCCCAUCGGGGUUUAUGAUAUCCAGCGAUGGUCGUCCUGAGAUGGGUGGUGCAUGUGGUUCACUUCUUACAGUGGCUUUCCACAUAUUGGUUUCCAGCCCCACGACUUCAAAGCAGAUGAACAAGGAGUUAGUGGCAACUGUCAAUACUCUAAUCAGUUCCAACGUUGAAAAAAUAAAAGUUGCCCUCAACUGUUCUGGCUUGGAUUAACAUGCCAAGACCAAAACUAGUGUCAUAAGACUAAGAAAUUUAUUUCUGUGACUGUUUUAAGACUCGUUUUGAAAGUUCAUUUGGAUCAUCCGGUAUUUUUAUGGGGAAAGAUUUGUUAUUCAUCCAAAAUUUGUUCAUUUUGUUUAUAUUUUCUUAAGGUUGCUAUUUUUUAUUUAUUUUGCUACUGUAAAACUAGGAAGUUUUUCAUUGUUAACAUUGCGUUUCAUCUCGGGCUGGUUGGGCGUGUUGGAUGGUCAACCCAACCCUAACCCAACUUUCACAAUUCAAGUUUGGGUUAGGUUCAAAUUCAUGUGGUUUUAGUCGGAGUGAGUUUUAAUUAGGUUCGGGUUUAUUAGAGUUUAUGGUUUAGGGUUGGUGCACUGCACAUUAGCAUACACUUUGACAAGGCCUUGUUGGAACUAUAAACUCAUGUAAGACACAAUAUUAAGACAAAGCAAUAAUGGUCACGAGAUGAAUGAAACUAUGUAAGCUAUGUAUAAAUUUGAGGGUAGGAUAAUUCUUUUAACUACUUGAGCUACAAACCCAUAUAAUCGCUAAUUAUGGUUUUUUGAGGGAUCAAUCAUCAGCGUUACGGCCUCGCUAGAAUUCUCAGAGAAAAGUAUAUCCAAAGUACAUAAAACAAAGCAAACAAAUAAGAAAUCGCAAUCAAUAGGACUUUUCCCAUUUGCUUGACAAGCAUAUACUCAACACUACUUAACAUGUAGAUCUAGUUAUAUGGUUGAAGAGACGAACUUACCUUCGAGUAACCGUCAUGCAUGUGUUCAAUCAUACAUACAGAUGGAAGCCUCCAAGGUCGGGAUUGCUAUGCAAACUCUCUUUUACGAAGUUAUAUGAAAAAUCCGUGGUCACCGAUCUUGAAGUAGCACUUUGAGUUAUCAACCCUAGUAAACAUAGAUCAUGCUUACAUAAUUAAGCUGAAACAUGAGUAAAAGUAUGAUUAGGAUCAUAGUUACACUUAUUCUACAUUUAUCCUUAAAAAUCUCUUGAAGGACAUAACUAAUAUCUGGAAUCCUAAUUCAUAACAGUGAGUGGGACCCCAUUUAAAAUUUAUAUACAAAUAGUAUAACCGAUGAUCAAUUCAAAGAUCAACACUUGCACAACCAAUUCAUAAGAGAAAUGCAACCAAUUUAUAAGAGAGAUGCCCAAUAGAGUUCCACUUUUGUGUGAAAAUCCAAUUGUUCCAAAAUCUCCAUUAAAAAAACUAUUUUUCAUUGCCUUAGUAAAGGAUUUAAUCUUAAUUUUGACCCAAAAAAGAAAAAGAAUUUAAUCUCUAUUUCUUUAGAAAUUUUCGAAUCGAAAUGGAUAAAAAUAGAUGCAAAACAAAAAAUAAUCAUAUAUUUACCCAUUCAAACUGCCAAUUAAUAUUCUUUCAUUUUUCAACGCGGCAUAUAAACAAAUACCAAAUCAAAUCAUGAAAAAAAACAUAAUAGAUAUGAUUUAAUCAAAUUCAUAACAACACUAAAUCAACAUCGUAGAAAUCAUGAAAGUUUUAACCACGACUCUAAAACCACAUAUAAAGCGGAAAUUCGAGAUCUCGAGUUUUUUAAUUUUCCCAACAAUACAAGUGGAAAUCAAUUGAAUAUAAAACAGACACACCUCGAUCCAUGAUAAAAAAUAAAAAAAAAACUCAAUGGAGAUGAAGAUUUGAAGAGAAAUAUUUUUGCUCUUCAGCGGCGGUCAUAGAUAUGUUUUCCUCUCUUUGCUUUCAAAGUCCAAUAUUUAUAGGCAAAGGAAUUACUAGUUCCUAGUAACCCUAAUCAUGAUGUGAUGUUAUAUUUGGGCCUCCCAAUGGGCCUCACUUAGUCUAUAGAUACAUUUAAAGUGAGAGGCUUGUCUUUGGCCUGUAAAAAUGCAACUUCCACAUUUAGGAUCACGCUCCAAUUCAACCCUAAUUUUUCUUCACUAUCAACUUUACUCUCUCAAAGAUAGUCAUGUCUCUUGUACAGUAAAAUCAAUCCGUUAUAUAAUGGAACCGAAACUACACCAAUGUGAAAUCCAACUUUGAAUGACUAUGCUACAUCAUUGUGUCUUUGUGUGUUUAUGUCACUACAAGAAAACAUGGCUUAGGUGGCGACAGACAUUCGUCACAUAAACAAGAAAAUUCAUCACAUUUGACUAUAUGUGACGAAAUUCUAGCAUCACAAUUUUCGUCACAUAUACAUAGUCAUCUAUAGUCCGUGUGACGAAUUUUAAAUUUGCCACAUAUUUUUAGUAUGCGUGAUGCCACUUGUGUCACUUAGUGCCAAUAUGUGUGACAUAGUAUGCGUCAUGCAACAUUAUGUGACCUAUGUUUGCGUCUUGUAUCAAAUUUAUAUGUGAUGCUUUUGUCAUCACCCAAUAUGAUGCCAUAAUGAUUUAGUUGCACUUAGCGACGCUGAAAUCGUCACAUAUUCCUUUGCUAUGUGGCACAACUUAAGUCACAUAUGUUUAAAACAAAUGCCUAUUUAGGAAUAAUAUUGACAAAUUAAUUGUUUUUUUCCUGCUUCGUAAUCUAGAAUUGCAGUUCAUAACAA
rnacentral:lncRNA from 1 species